AACGCGAAGAACCUUACCUACCCUUGACAUGGAUGGAACCGAAGAGAUUUGGUAGUGCGAAAGAGAACCAACACAGGUGCUGCAUGGCUGGAGCGUGGUGAGAUGUUGGGUUAAGCCGCAACGAGCGCAACCCUUGAUUAGUUGCUACGAAAGGGCACUAAUGAGACUGCCGGUGACAAACCGGAGGAAGGUGGGGAUGACGAAGCAUGGCCCUUAUGGGUAGGGCUACACGAUACAAUGGUACAUACAGAGGGCCGCCAACCCGCGAGGGGGAGCUAACCAGAAAGUGUAGUAGCGGAUUGGAGUGCAACGACCAUGAAGUUGGAAGCUAGUAAGCGGAAGCAUGGCGGUGAAUACGUCCGGGUGUACACACCG
rnacentral:rRNA from 1 species